UGGCGGUGAGGGAGGGAUUCGAACCCUCGAUACAGCUUUUGACCGUAUACUCCCUUAGCAGGGGAGCGCCUUCAGCCUCUCGGCCACCUCACC
rnacentral:tRNA from 3 species